GAUGAACGCUAGCGGCAGGCCUAACACAUGCAAGUCGAGGGAGAAGCCCUUUCGGGGGCAGAAACCGGCGCACGGGUGCGUAACGCGUAUGCAACCUACCUUUCACAGGGGGAUAGCCCGAAGAAAUUUGGAUUAAUACCCCAUAAUAUUGUUGGAUGGCAUCAUCUGGCAAUUAAGGCUACGACGGUGGAAGAUGGGCAUGCGUCCUAUUAGCUAGUUGGAGUGGUAACGGCACCCCAAGGCUACGAUAGGUAGGGGUCCUGAGAGGGAGAUCCCCCACACUGGUACUGAGACAGGGACCAGACUCCUACGGGAGGCAGCAGUGAGGAAUAUUGGUCAAUGGUCGGAAGACUGAACCAGCCAUGCCGCGUGCAGGAAGAAUGCCUUAUGGGUUGUAAACUGCUUUUAUAUGGGAAGAAUAAGGCGUACGUGUACG
rnacentral:rRNA from 1 species